rnacentral:rRNA from 1 species
UACGGAGGGUGCGAGCGUUGUUCGGAAUCACUGGGCGUAAAGGGCGUGUAGGCGGUCCGCUAAGUCUGAUGUGAAAGCCCGGGGCUCACCCCCGGAAGUGCAUUGGAAACUGGCGGACUCGAGUCCCGGAGAGGAGAGUGGAAUUCCUGGUGUAGCGGUGAAAUGCGUAGAUAUCAGGAGGAACACCGGUGGCGAAGGCGGCUCUCUGGACGGUGACUGACGCUGAGACGCGAAAGCGUGGGGAGCGAUCCGG